UCGGGUGACAGGGAGACAGGUGGUGCAUGGUUGUCGUCAGCUCGUGUCGUGAGAUGUUGGGUUAAGUCCCGCAACGAGCGCAACCCCUACGUUUAGUUGCUAACAGGUGAAGCUGAGCACUCUAGACGAACUGCCGUUGACAAAACGGAGGAAGGUGGGAUGACGUCAAAUCAUCAUGCCCCUUAUGUUCUGGGCUACACACGUGCUACAAUGGCCGGUACAGACGGAGGCGAAGCCGCGAGGCGGAGCAAAUCCGAAAAAGCCGGUCUCAGUUCGGAUUGCAGGCUGCAAUUCGCCUGCAUGAAGUCGGAAUCGCUAGUAAUCGCAGGUCAGCAUACUGCGGUGAAUACCGUUCCGGGCCUU
rnacentral:rRNA from 1 species